AACGAACGCUGGCGGCAUGCCUAACACAUGCAAAUCGAACGAGACCUUCGGGUCUAGUGGCGCACGGGUGCGUAACGCGUGGGAACCUGCCCUUAGGUUCGGAAUAACUCCCCGAAAGGGGUGCUAAUACCGGAUAAUGUCUUCGGACCAAAGAUUAUCGCCUUUGGAUGGGCCCGCGUUGGAUUAGCUAGUUGGUAGGGUAAAAGCCUACCAAGGCGACGAUCCAUAGCUGGUCUGAGAGGAUGAUCAGCCACACUGGGACUGAGACACGGCCCAGACUCCUACGGGAGGCAGCAGUGGGGAAUAUUGGACAAUGGGCGAAAGCCUGAUCCAGCAAUGCCGCGUGAGUGAUGAAGGCCUUAGGGUUGUAAAGCUCUUUUACCCGGGAUGAUAAUGACAGUACCGGGAGAAUAAGCUCCGGCUAACUCCGUG
rnacentral:rRNA from 1 species